UGCCUACGGGAGGCUGCAGUGGGGAAUCUUGCGCAAUGCGCGAAAGCGUGACGCAGCAACGCCGCGUGGGGGAAGAAGGCCUUCGGGUUGUAAACCUCUUUCAGUUGGGACGAAGCUUCGGCGGUGAACAGCCGCCCGGAGUGACGGUACCUUCACAAGAAGCCCCGGCUAACUACGUGCCAGCAGCCGCGGUAAUACGUAGGGGGCAAGCGUUGUCCGGAAUCAUUGGGCGUAAAGCGCGUGUAGGCGGCUCGGUAAGUCCGCUCUGAAAGUCCAGGGCUCAACCCUGGGAUGCGGGUGGAUACUGCCGGGCUCGAGUCCGGAAGAGGCGAGUGGAAUUCCUGGUGUAGCGGUGAAAUGCGCAGAUAUCAGGAGGAACACCGAUGGCGAAGGCAGCUCGCUGGGACGUGACUGACGCUGAGACGCGAAAGCGUGGGGAGCAAACAGGAUUAGAUACCCGAGUAGUCG
rnacentral:rRNA from 1 species